GUGGGGAAUCUUGCGCAAUGGGCGAAAGCCUGACGCAGCCAUGCCGCGUGGAUGAUGAAGGUCUUAGGAUUGUAAAAUCCUUUCACCGGUGAAGAUAAUGACUGUAGCCGGAGAAGAAGCCCCGGCUAACUUCGUGCCAGCAGCCGCGGUAAUACGAAGGGGGCUAGCGUUGCUCGGAUUUACUGGGCGUAAAGGGCGCGUAGGCGGACAUUUAAGUCAGGGGUGAAAUCCCGGGGCUCAACCUCGGAACUGCCUUUGAUACUGGAUGUCUUGAGUGUGAGAGAGGUGUGUGGAACUCCGAGUGUAGAGGUGAAAUUCGUAGAUAUUCGGAAGAACACCAGUGGCGAAGGCGACACACUGGCUCAUUACUGACGCUGAGGCGCGAAAGCGUGGGGAGCAAACAGGAUUAGAAACCCCAGUAGUCC
rnacentral:rRNA from 1 species